rnacentral:misc_RNA from 1 species
UUAAUCCGAAUCCUAACUAUUAACGACCGUGACGAGUCGAAAACUUCAGGUUCACAUACGUAAUGAAAAAAUGUAUCUAACUGGUAGCAGGUAAAUAAAAGUUGCGUGAACCUAAAUCAAAUCGCGCAAUGUUUACAUGCUCCACUUAUGAACACGGUUUGUGUACAUACGUGUUAUGCAGAAUUCGCGGUUUCCGAAAUGCGGUGGUUCAAACAAUUUUAGACUGACUACAAAUUCCGUAUCUCCAGAAAUGACGUGGGUAAACGAAUUCAAGUAUAGGUCCGAUCAUUUCACUAGUAGGAAAACGUAUCUGAAUCGAGUCCUAGACUAAUAAUAGAAAGCCAGAUAUUGUUCGAG